GGCCUGUUUUGAUGGACAACUUUUUUUUCAGACAAAAAGUAUAGGUACAGUCCUGAGAAGCUCAAAAAGUCUGUGUCAUGCCAGUCAGAGGAGUUUUCUAACUCUAGACAAGGCCGGAGACAAUCAGGUAGGUUCCCAAUCUAAGUCUUGGUCUUAACUUAUCUUUUUUUAAUUGAAACUUUCCAAUUUUACAAAGAUGGUUUUCUACUUCAUCUUCCAACAGAACCAUCUAAAGAGAUCCUAAAGAACACUGAAGUAAUACUAAAGGAGGAAAGGGGGUGUGAGGACACUGGGAACAAUUUUAAAGGAGAAAAUGGCCCAUCAGUUGAACAGGUGGAGGCAUAUCUCAAGGAUGAAAAAUAUAUCUCAGAACAGGUUAGUUGUUUAAUUAAAAUUGUUUCAUUUGUUAUGUUAGCAAAAUUGUAUUAGUAUUAGUACUUUACACCUAGGACUAAAAUUCUACUUGCUGAUUGUAAGUUGCUUUAGUAAGUAACAGGUUACCUAACCAAUGUUUUGAACUUUGACAUAUGUGUUGUAUCUUGAUGUGGUUGGCAAUACCCAGCUGUAUUUGAAACAAACCCAGCGAUCAAUUAAAUUAGCUUAUAACUAUAUCUUGAUUUCCCCUUCUUACACUCUCAAGGACAAAUCACAAAACCUGGAAACAACCUCUUGCUGGGGUUCCACUGAGAAAUUGAAGCCAGAUGUGUUUU
rnacentral:lncRNA from 1 species